GUAUUUAGCUUUCCAGACACUGUUCUUAGAGUGUGCAGAUGGAUAGGUGGGCAGGCGGGCAGAAGAGGGGAUGGUGGAGGGAUGGAUGGUGGAGGGAUAGAUGGAUGGAUGGGUGGGUGGGUGGAUGGAAGGAUGGAUGGACGGAUGGAUGGAUGGACGGAUGGAUAAGUGGAUGGAUAGGUAGGGGGGGUGGAUGGAUGGAUGGUGAGUGGAUAGAUGAGUGGACAGGUAGACAGAUGAA